UUAACUGAUUACCAUACUUUCCCUAUGUUAUAUUCUAUAACGUUAUAUUUAAUUGUUAUUGUAAGUUCAUUGUCGGUGAUAAAUUCUAUGCCAUAGAUGCUGGUAUAAAACACUAUGUUUUAUUGGAAUCUAGCUGGCAAUAUUGCCUGAAUAAUUGUUAAAAUAUGUACAUAGGAUAUUGUGAAAUAUUUCGUAAGACAAACAUGAUAAAAAGACGUGAAAAGCCUUAUUGGAUUGCUUGAAAAAUAAUCUCUGUAUGGUUAACGCCUACAUAGCUAUAGAUUAAACGGCGAAAAAAUUAAAUUCUUUACAUUUCGGGUAAACAAAUGGUUAAUAGGAAGGUUGAUACAAGAUAAACGGAUUUACAAUUAUGGAUUACAUACAGUAGUACCCCGAACUUACGCGAUAAGUGGGACCGAGCGAU